GAGGCUCUUAUCGUCUUCGAGGAUGCUGGACCAACACCCAGUCAGCUGGAUCUGAGAAUUGCAGAGAAACUCCAGCCGAGUUUAGUCACAACUAAACACGAUCUGAAGGACGAAUCGUAUAAAAACACAAAGAGGGCCACAACAUUCCGGGAGAGUUACACGCUACACAUGGAUUCUUUUCCUGAAAGACCAG